GCGUCUGCCGCAGCCGCAACUACCUGCGGCGACGAAACGAACAGCCUA
rnacentral:sRNA from 1 species